AGAGUUUGAUCCUGGCUCAGGAUGAACGCUGGCGGCAUGCCUAAUACAUGCAAGUCGAACGAGAGGAAGGAAAGCUUGCUUUUCUGAAUCUAGUGGCGAACGGGUGAGUAACACGUAGGUAACCUGCCCAUGUGCCCGGGAUAACCUCUGGAAACGGAUGCUAAAACCGGAUAGGUAGCAGAUAAGCAUUUGACUGCUAUUAAAGUGGCUAAGGCCAUGAACAUGGAUGGACCUGCGGUGCAUUAGCUAGUUGGUGAGGUAACGGCCCACCAAGGCGACGAUGCAUAGCCGGCCUGAGAGGGCGGACGGCCACAUUGGGACUGAGACACGGCCCAAACUCCUACGGGAGGCAGCAGUAGGGAAUUUUCGUCAAUGGGGGGAACCCUGAACGAGCAAUGCCGCGUGAGUGAAGAAGGUCUUCGGAUCGUAAAGCUCUGUUGUAAGAGAAAAACGACAUUCAUAGGGAAUGAUGAGUGAGUGAUGGUAUCUUACCAGAAAGUCACGGCUAACUACGUGCCAGCAGCCGCGGUAAUACCGUAGGUGGCGAGCGUUAUCCGGAAUGAUUGGGCGUAAAGGGUGCGUAGGUGGCAGAACAAGUCUGGAGUAAAAGGUAUGGGCUCAACCCGUACUGGCUCUGGAAACUGUUCAGCUAGAGAACAGAAGAGGACGGCGGAACUCCAUGUGUAGCGGUAAAAUGCGUAGAUAUAUGGAAGAACACCGGUGGCGAAGGCGGCCGUCUGGUCUGUUGCUGACACUGAAGCACGAAAGCGUGGGGAGCAAAUAGGAUUAGAUACCCUAGUAGUCCACGCCGUAA
rnacentral:rRNA from 1 species